rnacentral:rRNA from 1 species
AUGCUUCUCCUAAAGACUAAGCCAUGCAUGCCUUCGAAUAAGAGGUAGCAAUUCUCUCUGAAUCUGCGAACGGCUCCGCACACCAGUUGUAAACUAUAGCAAGCAUGCUUCGGGCUCCCUUCGCGGGGGUUUUGGGUAACACGGAUAACCCUGGUAAUUCUGAGGCUAAUACGAGACCGUAAUCCCUGGUUGGUCGGGCAACUGACUGGCUGGGGAGCGUGUGAUCUUCCGCUGAUUUUUUCCGGGGAACGGGUA